rnacentral:rRNA from 1 species
UACAGAGGGUGCAAGCGUUAAUCGGAAUUACUGGGCGUAAAGCGCGCGUAGGCGGCUGCUUAAGUCGGAUGUGAAAUCCCCGGGCUUAACCUGGGAACUGCACUCGAUACUGAGCAGCUAGAGUAUGAGAGAGGGAGGUAGAAUUCCACGUGUAGCGGUGAAAUGCGUAGAUAUGUGGAGGAAUACCGGUGGCGAAGGCGGCCUCCUGGCUUAAUACUGACGCUGAGGUGCGAAAGCGUGGGGAGCAAACAGG